AGAGCGAUAUCUUGCGCAAUGGGCGAAAGCCUGACGCAGCCAUGCCGCGUGAAUGAUGAAGGUCUUAGGAUUGUAAAAUUCUUUCACCGGGGACGAUAAUGACGGUACCCGGAGAAGAAGCCCCGGCUAACUUCGUGCCAGCAGCCGCGGUAAAAAUA
rnacentral:rRNA from 1 species